rnacentral:rRNA from 1 species
GCUCUGUCUUCAGGGACGAUAAUGACGGUACCUGAGGAGGAAGCCACGGCUAACUACGUGCCAGCAGCCGCGGUAAUACGUAGGUGGCAAGCGUUGUCCGGAUUUAUUGGGCGUAAAGCAUGCGUAGGCGGAUAUUUAAGUGGGAUGUGAAAUCCCGGGGCUUAACCCCGGUGCUGCAUUUCAAACUGGAUAUCUAGAGUGCAGGAGAGGAAAGCGGAAUUCCUAGUGUAGCGGUGAAAUGCGUAGAUAUUAGGAAGAACACCAGUGGCGAAGGCGGCUUUCUGGACUGUAACUGACGCUGAGGCAUGAAAGCGUGGGUAGCAAACAGGAUUAGAUACCCUGGUAGUCCACGCCGUAAACGAUGGGUACUAGGUGUCGGGGUUUCAAUACUCCGGUGCCGCAGUUAACACAUUAAGUACCCCGCCUGGGGAGUACGAUCGCAAGAUUAAAACUCAAAGGAAUUGACGGGGGCCCGCACAAGUAGCGGAGCAUGUGGUUUAAUUCGAAACAACGCGAAGAACCUUACCUGGGCUUGACAUCCCGAGAAUCCUGUGGAAACAUAGGAGUGCCCUUCGGGGAACUCGGUGACAGGUGGUGCAUGGUUGUCGUCAGCUCGUGUCGUGAGAUGUUGGGUUAAGUCCCGCAACGAGCGCAACCCUUGUUGUUAGUUGCUACCAUUAAGUUGAGCACUCUAGCAAGACUGCCUGGGUAACCAGGAGGAAGGUGGGGAUGACGUCAAAUCAUCAUGCCCCUUAUGUCCAGGGCUACACACGUGCUACAAUGGUUGGUACAGAGAGAAGCAAGACCGUGAGGUGGAGCCAAUCUCACAAAGCCAAUCUCAGUUCGGAUUGUAGGCUGCAACUCGCCUACAUGAAGCUGGAGUUACUAGUAAUCGCGAAUCAGAAUGUCGCGGUGAAUGCGUUCCCGGGCCUUGUACACACCGCCCGUCACACCAUGAGAGUUGGUAACACCCGAAGUCCGUGAGGUAACCGUAAGGAGCCAGCGGCCGAAGGUGGGAUCGAUGAUUGGGGUGAA